rnacentral:misc_RNA from 1 species
UCCGUGUUAACCACGGCAGUCUCUUUAGAGAGCCCAACUUAAUGAUGGCAACUAAAGACAAGGGUUGCGCUCGUUGCGGGACUUAACCCAACAUGUCACCACACGAGCUGACGACAGCCAUGCAGCACCUGUCUUCCUGCUGUAUUGCUACAGAGACUGUAUUUCUACAGCUGUCAGGAGAUGUCAAACCCAGGUAAGGUUCUUCGCGUUGCUUCGAAUUAAACCACAUGAUCCACCGCUUGUGCGGGCCCCCGUCAAUUCCUUUGAGUUUUAGUCUUGCGACCGUACUUCCCAGGCGGGGUACUUAUCGCGUUAGCUCCGGCCCAGCAGGGGUCAAUACCCGCUUGGCCUAGUACCCAUCGUUUACAGCGUGGACUAC